UUGCCCAACAGCUAGCUCGCCUAGUAAAAUCAACCUUUGAUUAUUUAUACCCCCUAAGGCACUAUGUUUAACAACUAAAUCAUUUUUCCUCUUUAGUAUAGGCGAUAGAAAAAGAAGUAGAAGCGAUAGAAAAAGUACCGCAAGGGAAAGCUGAAAAAGAAAUGAAAUAACCCAGUAAAGCACAAAGAAGCAGAGAUACACCCUUGUACCUUUUGCAUCAUGUUUUAGCUAGAAUUAGUCAAGCAAAGGGAGCUGUAGUUUGACACCCCGAAACUAAGUGAGCUACUUCGGAGCAGCCUACACGCAGGGCACACCCACUUCUGUUGCAAAAGGAGGGGAGGACUCCCAAGUAGAGGUGACAAAUCUACCGAACUUAGUUAUAGCUGGUUGCCUGUCAAUUGAAU
rnacentral:rRNA from 1 species